AUAAUGGGUCAGCGACUUAUAUUCUGUAGCAAGGUUAACCGAAUAGGGGAGCCGAAGGGAAACCGAGUCUUAACUGGGCGUUAAGUUGCAGGGUAUAGACCCGAAACCCGGUGAUCUAGCCAUGGGCAGGUUGAAGGUUGGGUAACACUAACUGGAGGACCGAACCGACUAAUGUUGAAAAAUUAGCGGAUGACUUGUGGCUGGGGGUGAAAGGCCAAUCAAACCGGGAGAUAGCUGGUUCUCCCCGAAAGCUAUUUAGGUAGCGCCUCGUGAAUUCAUCUCCGGGGGUAGAGCACUGUUUCGGCAAGGGGGUCAUCCCGACUUACCAACCCGAUGCAAACUGCGAAUACCGGAGAAUGUUAUCACGGGAGACACACGGCGGGUGCUAACGUCCGUCGUGAAGAGGGAAACAACCCAGACCGCCAGCUAAGGUCCCAAAGUCAUGGUUAAGUGGGAAACGAUGUGGGAAGGCCCAGACAGCCAGGAUGUUGGCUUAGAAGCAGCCAUCAUUUAAAGAAAGCGUAAUAGCUCACUGGUCGAGUCGGCCUGCGCGGAAGAUGUAACGGGGCUAAACCAUGCACCGAAGCUGCGGCAGCGACGCUUAUGCGUUGUUGGGUAGGGGAGCGUUCUGUAAGCCUGUGAAGGUGUACUGUGAGGUAUGCUGGAGGUAUCAGAAGUGCGAAUGCUGACAUAAGUAACGAUAAAGCGGGUGAAAAGCCCGCUCGCCGGAAGACCAAGGGUUCCUGUCCAACGUUAAUCGGGGCAGGGUGAGUCGACCCCUAAGGCGAGGCCGAAAGGCGUAGUCGAUGGGAAACAGGUUAAUAUUCCUGUACUUGGUGUUACUGCGAAGGGGGGACGGAGAAGGCUAUGUUGGCCGGGCGACGGUUGUCCCGGUUUAAGCGUGUAGGCUGGUUUUCCAGGCAAAUCCGGAAAAUCAAGGCUGAGGCGUGAUGACGAGGCACUACGGUGCUGAAGCAACAAAUGCCCUGCUUCCAGGAAAAGCCUCUAAGCAUCAGGUAACAUCAAAUCGUACCCCAAACCGACACAGGUGGUCAGGUAGAGAAUACCAAGGCGCUUGAGAGAACUCGGGUGAAGGAACUAGGCAAAAUGGUGCCGUAACUUCGGGAGAAGGCACGCUGAUAUGUAGGUGAAGUCCCUCGCGGAUGGAGCUGAAAUCAGUCGAAGAUACCAGCUGGCUGCAACUGUUUAUUAAAAACACAGCACUGUGCAAACACGAAAGUGGACGUAUACGGUGUGACGCCUGCCCGGUGCCGGAAGGUUAAUUGAUGGGGUUAGCGCAAGCGAAGCUCUUGAUCGAAGCCCCGGUAAACGGCGGCCGUAACUAUAACGGUCCUAAGGUAGCGAAAUUCCUUGUCGGGUAAGUUCCGACCUGCACGAAUGGCGUAAUGAUGGCCAGGCUGUCUCCACCCGAGACUCAGUGAAAUUGAACUCGCUGUGAAGAUGCAGUGUACCCGCGGCAAGACGGAAAGACCCCGUGAACCUUUACUAUAGCUUGACACUGAACAUUGAGCCUUGAUGUGUAGGAUAGGUGGGAGGCUUUGAAGUGUGGACGCCAGUCUGCAUGGAGCCGACCUUGAAAUACCACCCUUUAAUGUUUGAUGUUCUAACGUUGACCCGUGAUCCGGGUUGCGGACAGUGUCUGGUGGGUAGUUUGACUGGGGCGGUCUCCUCCUAAAGAGUAACGGAGGAGCACGAAGGUUGGCUAAUCCUGGUCGGACAUCAGGAGGUUAGUGCAAUGGCAUAAGCCAGCUUGACUGCGAGCGUGACGGCGCGAGCAGGUGCGAAAGCAGGUCAUAGUGAUCCGGUGGUUCUGAAUGGAAGGGCCAUCGCUCAACGGAUAAAAGGUACUCCGGGGAUAACAGGCUGAUACCGCCCAAGAGUUCAUAUCGACGGCGGUGUUUGGCACCUCGAUGUCGGCUCAUCACAUCCUGGGGCUGAAGUAGGUCCCAAGGGUAUGGCUGUUCGCCAUUUAAAGUGGUACGCGAGCUGGGUUUAGAACGUCGUGAGACAGUUCGGUCCCUAUCUGCCGUGGGCGCUGGAGAACUGAGGGGGGCUGCUCCUAGUACGAGAGGACCGGAGUGGACGCAUCACUGGUGUUCGGGUUGUCAUGCCAAUGGCACUGCCCGGUAGCUAAAUGCGGAAGAGAUAAGUGCUGAAAGCAUCUAAGCACGAAACUUGCCCCGAGAUGAGUUCUCCCUGACUCCUUGAGAGUCCUGAAGGAACGUUGAAGACGACGACGUUGAUAGGCCGGGUGUGUAAGCGCAGCGAUGCGUUGAGCUAACCGGUACUAAUGAACCGUGAGG
rnacentral:rRNA from 1 species